UUAAUGAAUUUUGCACGAUUAGAGUUGAGCUGGUUAACCUAGUUAACAAGUGCUCAUUCUAAUUGACAAAUCCACUCAUUAUUUAACACCUGUGAACUUAUCUAUUAUAAACAUUAUAAUAUGUCAUUGGAACGUUUGAUUAUAAUAAGUUAAUACAACUUUCAACAACGGAUCUCUUGGCUCUCGCAUCGAUGAAGAACGCAGCGAAAUGCGAUAAGUAAUGUGAAUUGCAGAAUUCAGUGAAUCAUCGAAUCUUUGAACGCACCUUGCGCUCCCUGGUAUUCCGGGGAGCAUGCCUGUUUGAGUGUCGUGAAGUCAUCAUGGUCAUGAUCUUUAAUUAAUCAUGGCUUGGAUUUGGAGGUUAUGUUGGCUUUCAGUCGACUCCUCUUAAAUGUAUUAGCUCAGUGUUUAAUGCUUAGAGCGGUUCACGGUGUGAUAAAUUAUCUACACUUCAACUAAUCUAAGUUAGCUGGCUUCUAAUAGAUCCUUUGUGAUCACUUUGUGUAUUUGACCUCAAAUCAGGUAGGACUACCCGCUGAACUUAAGCAUAUCAAUAAGCGGAGGAAAAGAAACUAACAAGGAUUCCCCUAGUAACUGCGAGUGAAGAGGGAAAAGCUCAAAUUUAAAAUCUGGCAGCUUUGGUUGUCCGAGUUGUAAUCUGGAGAAGUGUUUUCAGUGCAGGACCGUGUACAAGUCUCUUGGAAUGGAGCAUCAUAGAGGGUGAGAAUCCCGUCUUUGACAUGGACUACCUGUGCUUUGUGAUACACUCUCAAAGAGUCGAGUUGUUUGGGAAUGCAGCUCAAAA
rnacentral:rRNA from 1 species